rnacentral:tRNA from 1 species
GAGUGUGUGGCCUAAAGGAUAAAGUGUCUGACUGCAAAUUGAAAAAUUAAGGGUUUGAGUCCCUUUGUAGUUG